CACGGUAGGAGGCGAGCGUUGUCCGGAAUCAUUGGGCGUAAAGAGCGCGCAGGCGGCUUGGCAAGUCGGGUGUGAAAUCCCGGGGCUCAACCCCGUGACUGCAUCCGAUACUGUCAGGCUAGAGGUAGGUAGGGGAGAUCGGAAUUCCUGGUGUAGCGGUGAAAUGCGCAGAUAUCAGGAGGAACACCGGUGGCGAAGGCGGAUCUCUGGGCCUUACCUGACGCUCAGGCGCGAAAGCUAGGGGAGCGAACAGG
rnacentral:rRNA from 1 species